CACCAUAGAUCAAAACACCAAGCUUUAUUCUUUGAUUUUCUCUCAAAAUUUUCUUAACGAAAAUUGUCGGGAAUAUUGUGUAGAUCGUUAAUGUGUAUUUGCAUGUUCGUUUGAGAUCCAGCGAGUUUUGUCGCGGAAACCGGCGAGCAAAGGUUUUGAUAUUCGACGGGUGAUAUUUUUAUAUUUGGAAUAAGCGAGUACUGCGAGUAGUUUGAGGUGUGGAUUUCCAAUUUCUUGUUCCGGAAAUCCCUGGCUUGAAUAAAGUGAGAAUGACUUUCCUUUA